GACGACGUUGGUCCAGAACGUGCUGUUAGUGGCGGUGGAGGAGGAGGAGGAUGGCGGCGGCGGCGGCGACGGCGACGAGGGAGCAGGAGAUGGCGCCGCCGACGUUUGGCAGUGGACCAACGUGAACCGGCUGUCCAUGGACAUUACGAAGGUAGAGAGGCUCGCCACCAUGGCAAGGAGGAGCAGGCAACGGCCCUGGCGGUGGCCGGAUGGAGACGACGGCAUGGGUGGUGUUCUGAUCGAGGAAGUAGCUAGGAAGUUAACGGCAGUGGGUGAUCAUGGCAGCCUGAGUGGUCAUCACAGUUGGAUGCAUGAUUGGCGUAGACAGGCCAUUUGGCGAAGACUUGACUUGACUUCACGGUAUACUGAUAAUGGCAUGAUUUGUUCGGUGGACCUUCUCCAUCCCUGUAGAAUGCAGAGUCGUCGGGCGUCAGGUUGCAUGCAGAUGCACUUGCAGGUUGAUGUAAGUAGUGGUUCAUACAUUGAUAUGAUUGCUAUUAGAUUGAGACAGUAGUAACUAAGGGGGGUGUUUGGAUACGAGGUGUUAAACUUUAACAGUGUCACAUUGGAUGUUCGGAUGCUAAUUAGAAGAACUAAACAUGAGCUAAUUAUAAAACUAAUUGCAGAACCCUGUGCUAAUUCGCAAGACGAAUCUAUUAAGCCUAAUUAAUCCAUCAUUAGCAAUUGGUUACUGUAGCACCACAUUGUCAAAUCAUGGACUAAUUAGGCUUAAUAGAUUCGUCUCGUGAAUUACACUCCAUCUGUGCAAUUAGUUUUGUAAUUAGCCUAUGUUUAAUACUCCUAAUUAGCAUCCAAACAUCCGAUGUGACAGGUGUUAAACUUUAACACAUGGUUGCCAAACAUGCCCUAAUUUGUUCAGUUUCAUCACUUCAUGGGGAACUUUAUAUGGUGUUAGGAAUGCACUAACCAUUAUUUUACUGCACCUUUUAUCUAAUCAGUGUAAAUUUCAUUUUCUAUUCUUUUCUACUAUCUCAGGUCUAAGAAACUAGCAGGUGUACCACUUGAAACCAACUUAUGACACAUACAAAAUAACAAUCUUAACGGUGUCUCUGGGUCGGUCAAUCCAACACCAUGUUCACUAACAUGUGUUCAUGUUAUUAAUCCGAUAUCUCUAUAUCUAGGAUCCAUGAAAGGUGAUCAUCAAUUAAUAAAUGUGCUAGUCUGUGUGUCAUUAUUGUCCCACAUAAUGAUAUAGACUAGGAAUCGUUUAGAAUAACAUGAUAAUCAACAAAGAGUUCCAUGAACCAGUCACAUACUUGAUAAUCAGUGUAAAUGAUAGUUACUCAAGGAACAAAUAACACUUUAUUCAAUAGGACAUAAAUAUAGUCAUGAUACAAAUCUUGCACACACACUAGGAUCAUUGAUGCAAGUAUCUAAUACUCAUAUAUUUGUUGUGCACUCCGCCACCUCAUGCACUGCAUCAGCCCGUACAUGGUUCCGUUGGGGACGCCGGGGUCAUACACGGCCUCCCCUGUCGCGAACAUCGGCACCUCCGGGAAGGAGGCCGGCGCGGUGUCGCCGGAGCCGUUGACGACGCACGCGGCGAGCCGCGUCAUGAGCGUGUAGUAUGUGUUCUCGAAGGUGCCCUUGUCACGGGCCUCCCCCGUGUUAUGCAUUUCGUAGCGGUACUGCUCGUAGGGCGUGGACGUGUUGGUGUCGGCAAAGAUGACGAAGCAGAACAUCGGCGCUGGAUAUGUCACGGUGGAGCCAUCGUCGUACCAGAUGGCGGCGCGGCGGCUGUUGCUGUUGCACUGGCUCCGGAUGCCCAUGGCGGCGCUCCGGAAUGCGACGACGUUGGACCAGAACGUGCUGUUAGUGGCGGUGGACCAAGGUACUAAAUAGCGGCGGUAGCGGCCGCAAUAGCGGUAGCGGCCUAUUGCCGCUAUCGCUACUAGGUUAGCGGUCGGGCUGUUGCGGUUUGGAAUUUUGCGACCGCAAUUGCGCUAUAGCGGGCCACAAUAGCGGUGGUAGUAAGCUGCAAUAACGUGGAACAAAAAAACCCUCCCAACCUACCCACACAGACUCCACCAGUGCACCCCCAUCGGCCAAUCGGCCUUGCCAUCCAGAACACGCCGCCGCCACAAUAGCGGUGGUAGUAGGCUGCAAUAACGUGGAACAAAAAAACCCUCCCAACCUACCCACACAGACUCCACCAGUGCACCCCCAUCGGCCAAUCGGCCUUGCCAUCCAGAACACGCCGCCGCCACCCGUGUUGGUUGCCCGCCGCCGCCACCCUUCACCGGUGCCGCCACCCUUCGCCAGCGCCGCCGAUUCACAUACUCGAGCUCCUCCUGAUCCUCAUGGACCUCCGUCGUCUUACACUCUUAAUUUAAGCAUGUGAGACAUGUAUGCAAUUAAAUAUCUAUUUAUACUUAUUAUUCAUGAUAUAUAUAUAAUUAAAAUUAUGUGAGAUUAUUAGGUGCCGCUAUUGAAACUUAUCGUCCGCAAUAUUGCCCGCUAUCCGCAAUCCGCUACUUCAACGUCAAUCCGCUACCAACCCGCUAUUCGCUAUUUAUUACGGUGGUGGAGGAGGAGGAUGGCGGCGGCAACGACGGCGACGAGGGAGCAGGAGAUGGCGCCGCUGACGUUUGGCAGUGGACCAACGUGAACCGGCUGUCCAUGGACAUUACGAAGGUAGAGAGGCUCGCCACCAUGGCAAGGAGGAGCAGGCAACGGCCCUGGCGGUGGCCGGAUGGAGACGAC
rnacentral:lncRNA from 1 species